ensembl:lncRNA
CGGGAUCCUGUCAGCGAGGGGCCGUGCCCGCGCUGGAGCCUGCCGGCGGCUGGUGACAUUCUUUUCGAAAUGCUGCGCUUAAGUUUGGCUUCUUAAUGUCAUAAUAGCAACAGCUCGACAUCUCGCGCUGCUCCUGAAGCGCAGGGUUGGUCUGUGCGCUGGUCCUGCUGUCACCUCCAUGGAGAAGCCCAAAGGCAGAAUGAGAGACAAGCGACAGGCCUCAACCAGUCUGGGAAAAUAAUAUCCCAUUAAAAUGGGAAAAAAAGGGUGAGGAGGGGCUGCAUCUAUACCCAAAAAGCUCAAAGCUUGGCAGCCUAGCAGCGGAUAUUGGACAGAAUGCCACCUUUCUCCUCCUCCCCAGUGCCAUGUGCAGGCCUGCAGCUGGGUGUCCAUAAGCAGCACCGUACCUCAUCCAAAGGCCCCCAAAAAACCUUCAGAGAAUGGCACUGCUCUGUGCCUGCCAUGUCAUCAACUUGCUGUGGCUGCAGCCGUGCUGGUUACAGCAUGGGACGAGUGUGGGGAGCUAUGGCCUCUGCCCGUCUCAUACUCCUCCUCCUGAUUGCCACAACUUUCUGGAAGUUUGCUGCUGCUCCGUGGCGAGCACCAGGAGCAGGUGGGUGAGCAAAACGGAGUGGCACGGGAGGCACAAAGUCACACUGUGUCCCCAUG